rnacentral:rRNA from 1 species
GGGGAGGCGAAUCCCAAAAAGACCGUCCCAGUUCAGAUUGCAGUCUGCAACUCGACUGCAUGAAGUCGGAAUCGCUAGUAAUCGCGGAUCAGCAUGCCGCGGUGAAUACGUUCCCGGGCCUUGUACACACCGCCCGUCACACCAUGAGAGUCGGGAACACCCGAAGUCCGUAGCCUAACCGCAAGGGGGGCGCGGCCGAAGGUGGGUUCGAUAAUUGGGGUGAAGUCGUAACAAGGUAAC